GGUAAUUUGAAUGUUAUUAAAAUAGGAAAGUUAUGCUUAUCACAAAGCAAAAACAUUCUAUAAAUUUAUAUUCUUAUAUAGAUCUGCAUCAGUUGUAACAGAUGAUUCUGUGGACUGUUUUCAGGUAUUAAAAUCGCCAAUGAGCAAAAUAAUAACAUUCAUUGGCGGACUGGGCCUAAAAAUUUUGGAGACAAAGGGGAUCACCCACAAAUAUCAUUUAAUUUUUAUAAGAAUUUUUAAGGGGGCCCAGUUGCCAUCGGUCUAACUGUUACCCUGGCCAGUCCGCCAUCCAGGGCCGGCGUGACCUUUUGCGGGGCCGGGUUCAAAAAUUUUGCGGGGCCUGAAUACACAUUCAAAUCCUACACUUAAAUUUUACAACGAGG
rnacentral:lncRNA from 1 species